AAGGGGGAUAAGGGAAGAAAGGGGGAAAGUGGGAAUAUAAUGGGAAAAAUAGAAAACAAGAAAUGGGGAAGGUGAGUUAAUAUAUUAUNNAANUCUNNNNUNCUCGGCAAUGGAGGAAACUUUGACCGAGCAACGCCGCGUGAACGAUGAAGUAUUUCGGUAUGUAAAGUUCUUUUAUUGAAGAAGAAAAAAUAGUGGAAAAACUAUCUUGACGAUAUUCAAUGAAUAAGCCCCGGCAAACUAUGUGCCAGCAGCCGCGGUAAUACAUAGGGGGCGAGCGUUAUCCGGAAUUAUUGGGCGUAAAGGGUGCGUAGGCGGUUUAAUAAGUCUAUAGUUUAAUUUCAGUGCUUAACACUGUCCUGCUAUAGAAACUAUUAGACUAGAGUGAGAUAGAGGCAAGUGGAAUUCCAUGUGUAGCGGUAAAAUGCGUAAAUAUAUGGAGGAACACCAGAGGCGUAGGCGGCUUGCUGGGUCUUUACUGACGCUGAGGCACGAAAGCGUGGGGAGCAAACAGGAUUAGAUACCCUGGUAGUCCACGCCGUAAACGAUGAGUACUAAGUGUCGGGAUUACUCGGUACUGAAGUUAACACAUUAAGUACUCCGCCUGAGUAGUACGUACGCAAGUAUGAAACUUAAAGGAAUUGACGGGACUCCGCACAAGCGGUGGAUCAUGUUGUUUAAUUCGAAGAUACACGAAAAACCUUACCAGGUCUUGACAUACUCUGCAAAGCUAUAGCAAUAUAGUGGAGGUUAUCAGGGAUACAGGUGGUGCAUGGUUGUCGUCAGCUCGUGUCGUGAGAUGUUAGGUUAAGUCCUAAAACGAGCGCAACCCUUGUCAUUAGUUGCCAGCAUGUCAUGAUGGGCACUUUAAUGAGACUGCCAAUGAAAAAUUGGAGGAAGGUGAGGAUCACGUCAAAUCAUCAUGCCCCUAUAUCUGCACCACACUUUAAAA
rnacentral:rRNA from 1 species